UCAAAUUUAUAACAAACCAAUGAAAAUUUUUAUAUUUCAUCGAUUGCCGUAUAUUAUAUCGAUUCUCAUGAAUAAUAUCCUAUAUUAUCUCAUAUAUUUUAUUUAUUUUUAAUUUUUUAUUAAUUUAUUACAAUGGUGACGUGGCAUCACAGUUGCAAUGAAUAUUUUCUCAGUGAAGCAAGGGACUCAUGCUCCCCUUUUUCUUGAAAUAGGAGAUCAUCGAAC
rnacentral:lncRNA from 1 species